UCCUGGAUGGCCGAGUGGUUAAGGCGACAGUCUUAAGUCCUUUGAUGGAAGAUAACUGUUGUGGAAACACGCGAGGGUUCGAACCCCUCUCCAGGAA
rfam:Absidia glauca strain CBS 101.48 genome assembly, contig: contig_7357